UCUCUCCCCUGUUCUCCCGGCUCCCUCUCUUUUGCGCCCGACCCUCUCUCCCUCCGACCCCUUGUCCGACGCACCCGACCGACGGACCACUGUGCAGCCCCUCCGGCUUCGGCAGAAGGCUCGGUGGUGCACGCUCUCGACUCUGCCCUCUCUCCUUCCGUCUCCCCCUUCGUCGAAUCGCGACGAAUUCAGAGGGUUUACACUGACGACGACGCGCCGUUGCCUCACCUUCGCCUCGAAGGGUACGAUUAGGGUCACGAGACUCCUAAUGCAUUUCUAUGUAUAUGUAAUUGUAUAAUGUCAUCUCUUGAAGUGAAUAACUAUGUAUUGUCCUUAGAGCAUACAUUUGAAAGCUCUACGUUUCGGUUCACCUUUGGGGUAGGUUCACCUUUGGGGUAAAGGUGUGUCGGCCACUGGGGUUGCAGGAUUUUGUUGGGGAGGUGAAAUUUUCUGAAUUCACUUUCACAGUUCUGAGGAGUUUUAGUGAUGAGAAAUUUGUUCUACCUUCACCAUUGAAAAACUAGUUCUGUUCACUUGUAAAAGGUUCUUUCAAGAUGUUAAAAAGAGCUUGCCUAUACUUUUCAGGAAAGGCACUAGCGAAAUUAGUAGGCAUUGAAGACAUUGGAGCAGCAGUUAUUCAGCACCCUGGUCGUAUGACUGAAGAUGAAAUCGAAGUCUGAGAGUUAUGUGAAAAUAUUCCCUAGUGUCAAUCAUGGAUGAAGUGUGAGGUGCGAAGACAACAACGAAUUUAUUGUCAAGAGUGCCGAAGAGGGCCAAGAGGACAUGUUGAAUUGGUUUUUGAAGCAUGUCAACCGAAUAGAAGACAUUUUAGAAAAUAUAGCGAGGGAAAGCAUUAGAUGAUGUUGUAAACCAUGAAUUGGUUUCGUCAGCAUUGAAGUUGUGUACAUGUUUUGAAUGAUUCUUGAAUUCUUUUUUGACCAAUUUGAUGAUCGAUGCAUUUCCUGUUCUUUGAACUUCAACUGUGAAUUUUUGUAAAUCAUACUGCUCUUAAUAUUAAAGAAUAGGAAAUUCUUGCC